rnacentral:lncRNA from 1 species
UGCACCAUUGAGUUCCAGUACACGAAAUUGAGUACCAGUACACAACUCAAAUAUUCUGAUACAGAGGAUCCAGUUCUGCAAAUUUCGAAAGUUGGAUUUUCAGGUUUUUAGUAUGUUUUGAUAUAGCUUGAAUCAGUACCGGACACUGUAUCAAUAUCGGUACCCAGCUGAGUUCCGCAAAAGCUGAGAGCUGUCCAACCCAACAAACUAUUGUGCUCUAGUACCGGUACACAAUACCAAAACUGUAGUUUUUUAGAGAUUUUGAUCUCCGAAGUCUAUUUUCGCACCAAUUAGGCAUUGAAAACACUUCCAAGCUCUCUAAACUGAACCAAAAUUUUCAGAAUAGUAUUAAAUGCCAUUCCUCUCACUAAGACCUUGUAAUUUGUAAAAGUCUAGUGUGCUAUAGUUACUUUCUAAACUUUUAGUGAAAUUUCACUUUAAUCCCAAACUUCUAAAAUAGACAUCGAAUACCCUAAACUGUAAUAAGUCGUCCGCAUUUCCCCCUUCCAUCAAUUCCUGUUAGCAGGAGUUGGUAGAAAUUGACGGAAGAGAACAUAGCUCGAACUAGCACACAUCCUCAGCUGCGCUUCUGCCUCCACCUCCACUUGUGAAUUCUCCUCUGCCUCCACCUACGCAUCCACCUUCGCGUCUGUCAUCACUCAAGUACAUGUCUGCCUCUGCUUCCGCCUC